rnacentral:tRNA from 1 species
GGUAAAGUGGCUGAGUAAGCAUUAGGCUGUAAACCUAAAGACAGGGGAUCUAGUCCUCCUUUGACCA